AAACUAAAGAGUUUGAUCCUGGCUCAGAUUGAACGCUGGCGGCAUGCCUUACACAUGCAAGUCGAACGGCAGCACGGAGCUUGCUCUGGUGGCGAGUGGCGAACGGGUGAGUAAAAUAUCGGAACGUACCCAGGAGUGGGGGAUAACGUAGCGAAAGUUACGCUAAUACCG
rnacentral:ncRNA from 1 species